rnacentral:lncRNA from 1 species
CCUGAACAAGCGACGUCGACUGGGGCUACAAUUAAUGUUGUUCACCUAAUUCCCAGGCGCUUAGACGUCACGUAGUCAAACGGCGACGUCUAAGGCCUAUCUGGAAGGCGGGAAGACAAAAAAUCCUUAUAUUUAGACGUCGGUUCGGAACGUAAUCGACGUCUACGUUCCUGUAAUUGAUUAUUUUCACCAAAUUCGAGGGUUUUAGACGUCGGCUAGGAGGGGCACCGACGUGAAUUACCNUGACAGGAAAUCAAGCGUCAAUCUUUUCAGCUUCUUUAAGAAGAAUAGACGUCGGAUCCCGAUCAAACACUGACGUCUAUAGACGUCGGUUUCUGGCGCAANCGACGNCCAAUUUCAUUUUAAAUAAACCGCANANCCUUCUAACCACUCAGUUUCUGAUCGCGUCUUCAUCUCUUCUCCUUUUUCUCUGGUUCUCCUCUUCUUUUACUCCCUUGCGCACCUCUACUUUUUAUCUCUUCCGGCAUUGCAUUGUAUUUUUUCAUAAUGUCAUUGUCUUCGUCCUCUCAUUU